UGGUACUCCCAUAUAAUGUUU
rnacentral:piRNA from 1 species